AUAUAUUUUAGAUUACUAAAAUAUAUAAAUACUGGUGUUGAAUCUUUGCUAAACUCUGUGAAGUCAGUGGCAAGUUUCAAUAUUGGGAAAUUAUAGCAAGGACUCCCCUAGAUGAUAUAUUUAAAUAAUAUUAAAAUCAUAUAAUUACUUCCAACAUACAAUACUCUCUUGAAAAACAUUUUAAAAAACCAUUAUCAGUGAGUAAUGGAAUCUUUUUCAUGGGAUUCAUUCUUUAUUGAACUAAUUACAAUUAAACUUGGUAUCCUAUUCCAUUUCUAUUGGCAUAAAAACAUUUUAGUGCAUGAGAAGCUCAUUUCUUUUAGGAAAAAAAUAUAUAAUCUGUAAACCACAUGCAUGGUGAUAAAUUUCAUAAGCAAAGUUUCUCUGACUGAAAAAUGUCCUUGUGACUGCUGUUAGUUUUAAAUCUCCUAGCAUACUUUUCUAAGGAAAAAAAAAAAACAACCCAUUUCUUCAAAUUGCAAUGUGUAAAAUUGAUUAUUUUCCUGUGAGUUUUGACUGUUGGCAAUGAUUUAAUAGAUGUAUCCUAUAAAUAUCUGUUUCCAAACAUUUAAAAAAUACAAGAGAUGAAAAAAAGCUUUGAAUAUAUUUGAUUUACACCUUACUCAUGCAACAUCCUACAGAUUCUUCAUUAAGCCAAAAUUAAAACAGCAUUGGUGUUAAGUAAUCAGUAAAGGAUUUAACGUAAAUGGCUCCUCUCUAGUUUCUUCAUUUGAACAACCAGCAUUACUGCCAAAACACCAAUCGUGGUCCAUAUUUGUAACAGGUUUUUAACAUGACAUAGUUAGCAAGUUUGACUGAAGAGAUUUUUAGGUUCUGGACUCAAGAGAUUUUAGUAUGACCUUUUUCAUGUUUCUAAUGCUUGAGGCUUUAUUGCUCAACUUGGAGAAAAAAAAACACCACAGUGUUGCUGCCAUUUGUAAGUUUUCCUAUAAUAUUCCUUUUAUUAACUCUAAACUGGCCUUACUGGAUUCAAAUAGGCAGUAUCCCUUUUAAGUGACCUUUGCAACCCAAGUGUUACUUGCUGUUUGAUGCUUUCAGUAUGUUAUAAAUAACAUUCAAACUUUUGUCCCCCUACACCAAAGCUUAACUUUUGUCUUAAUAUCAAAUUCUUACCCAUUGGUCCUGUGAGAUAAGAAGCUCAACUUGCUAGAAUUAUAGAGAAUUGACAUAGUGGGCCACUAGAGAAUGUCUGUGAUGCUUUUACAAAGGAUACUAGAAGGACUAGCAACCCAAGUUUGCUCCCACCUCCAUCUUCUAUUCAGUCCCCAAAUAAAGGCCAAGCUUUAUUUUUACCCCAAUAUUAGAAUGUUAAUAUUGUUAAUAGUCAGUGUACACUACUGUAAACAAACAAACAAAAAAAGACAAGUGUCUGAAAAUCAAAUCCGGAGUUCCAAUAGCAUUAAUCUAUUUUCAACAAGAACUUAUUUUUACAUUGUUUCUUGUUUAAAAAAUCAUCUCAAACAAAUUUCACUGAGGCUUAAGGAAUAUACUGUCUUAUUUAGAUGCCAACUGAACUUACAAUGUGAACUAAGUUGUCUUCUCUGUUGUGUUCUAUGAUAUGUCUGGAUCAUGCUUUUGGGGAUGUUUUUAUUGAAAUGCUCAGUGUGCAUCCAUUAAAAAAAAAGGCUCUGGCUUGCUCUUGUUGGGCAACAGGACUUUUCUCCCUUUUAUUGUGUUCUCUUGACACUUUUGUGGAACUUGACAAGCCUGAAAAAAAUUUUUUGUAAAAAUUUGUAUAAUACUGUUAUAAAAAAUUUAUAAUCAUAGAAAAUGUUGUGUUAAUUCUUGUGCAAAAAAACCCCA
ensembl:lncRNA